rnacentral:rRNA from 1 species
CCUAGCGGCAGGCUUAAUACAUGCAAGUCGAGGGGCAGCAGGUCUGUAGCAAUACAGGCGCUGGCGACCGGCAAACGGGUGCGGAACACGUACACAACCUUCCUUUAAGCGGGGAAUAGCCCGGGGAAACCCGGAUUAAUACCUCAUAGUAUAAUGAAGAGGCAUCUUUUUAUUAUUAAAGAUUUAUCACUUGAAGAUGGGUGUGCGGCUGAUUAGGUAGUUGGCGGGGUAACGGCCCACCAAGCCUACGAUCAGUAACUGGUGUGAGAGCACGACCAGUCACACGGGCACUGAGACACGGGCCCGACUCCUACGGGAGGCAGCAGUAAGGAAUAUUGGUCAAUGGACGAAAGUCUGAACCAGCCAUGCCGCGUGGAGGAUGAAGGUCCUCUGGAUUGUAAACUUCUUUUAUAUGGGACGAAAAAAGGCUUUUCCAGGUCGUCUGACGGUACCAUAUGAAUAAGCACCGGCUAACUCCGUGCCAGCAGCCGCGGUAAUACGGAGGGUGCAAGCGUUAUCCGGAUUCACUGGGUUUAAAGGGUGCGUAGGUGGGUUGAUAAGUCAGUGGUGAAAUCCCCGAGCUUAACUUGGGAACUGCCAUUGAUACUAUUGAUCUUGAAUACCGUGGAGGUCAGCGGAAUAUGUCAUGUAGCGGUGAAAUGCUUAGAUAUGACAUAGAACACCCAAUUUGCGAAGGCAG